CACGGGGGGAGCAAGCGUUGUUCGGAUUCAUUGGGCGUAAAGGGCUCGUAGGCGGCCAACUAAGUCGGACGUGAAAUCCCUCAGCUUAACUGGGGAACUGCGUCUGAUACUGGAUGGCUUGGAUUUGGGAGAGGGAUGCGGAAUUCCAGGUGUAGCGGUGAAAUGCGUAGAUAUCAUUUGGAACGCCAAUGGUGAAAACAGGUAGCUGGGAGUGUGCUGACGCUGAGACACGAAAGCCAGGGGAGCAAACGGG
rnacentral:rRNA from 1 species